rnacentral:rRNA from 1 species
GGGGAAUUUUCCGCAAUGGGCGAAAGCCUGACGGAGCAAUACCGCGUGAGGGAGGAAGGCUCUUGGGUUGUAAACCUCUUUUCUCAAGGAAGAAGUUCUGACGGUGCUUGAGGAAUCAGCAUCGGCUAACUCCGUGCCAGCAGCCGCGGUAAUACGGAGGAUGCAAGCGUUAUCCGGAAUGAUUGGGCGUAAAGCGUCCGCAGGUGGGUGGUGUGUGUCUAUUGUCAAAGCAUCAUGCUUAACAUGAUAAAGGCAGUAGAAACUACACGACUAGAGUGCGUUCGGGGCAGAGGGAAUUCCUGGUGUAGCGGUGAAAUGCGUAGAGAUCAGGAGGAACACCGGUGGCGAAAGCGCUCUGCUAGGCCGCAACUGACACUGAGGGACGAAAGCUAGGGGAGCGAAAGGGAUUAGAUACCCCUGUAGUC